CGGGCCGCGAUUCGCCCUUCUUGGUCAUUUAGAGGAAGUAAAAGUCGUAACAAGGUCUCGUAGGUGAACCUGCGGAGGGAUCAUUACCGAGUUCAUGCCCUUACGGGUGAUCUCCCACCCUAUGUUAUUAUUACCUUUGUUGCUUUGGCGGGCCGCUGAUUUCGGUCAGGCUACCGGCUCCGGCUGGUAAGCGCCCGCCAGAGGACCCAAACCCUGAAUAUUAGUGUCGUCUGAGUACUAUAUAAUAGUUAAAACUUCAACAACGGAUCUCUUGGUUCUGGCAUCGAUGAAGAACGCAGCGAAAGCGAUAAGUAAUGUGAAUUGCAGAAUUCAGUGAAUCAUCGAAUCUUUGACGCACAUUGCGCCCCUUGGUAUUCCGAGGGGCAUGCCUGUUCGAGCGUCUUACAACCCUCAAGCACUGCUUGGUACUGGGCUCCGCUUCUUAUACAGCGGCCUUAAAAUUAGUGGCGGUGUCAUUAGGCCCUGAGCGUAGUAAAUAUCUCGCUAUAGGGACUUGGUGAUUACUGGCCAGCAAUCCCCAACUUUCUAGUUUGACCUCGGAUCAGGUAGGGAUACCCGCUGAACUUAAGCAUAUCAUAAGCGGAGGA
rnacentral:rRNA from 1 species